rnacentral:lncRNA from 1 species
CUGUCCUUGAAACUGACUUUGCCUGUGCUUGUGGAGGAGGCUGGUAAAACCAUUGUAAAAGGCUUAGUCUUCAGCGGCAAGACCUACCUGUGCAGACACUCAUCUGGACCCUUCUGUAGCUAGUGCAGACAGCAGGUGCAGAGUGGCUCUCGAGGAACGGCUGUGUGUCCUGCACAGAGGCCUCCUGUGUGGGGCAGGGAGGACAGCAGGAACCGGACACAAACAAAACUACCCUGAAACAGCAGGAACAGGCAAUUGCAGGCACAGCAUUGAGGCAUCGGUCUUACUUUGGGAGGCUGAGGCAGGUGGAUCACUUGAGGUCAGAAGUUGGAGACCAACCUGGACAACAUCGCGAAAUCCCAUCUCUACUAAAAAUACAAAAAUUAAUCAACACAAAUUUGGGAGUUCCUGCAACACCUCUCAGUGUCAUCGGUGGAGGGUGUCCAGGUUCUUGGUGCCUUGAACAAGGAAUUGGACAAAACACACAAAGCAAGGAAGGAAUGAAGGGAUUUAUUGAAAAUGAAAGUACACUCCACAGUGCAGGAGCGGGCUCGAGCAUAGGGGCUCAAGGGCCCGGAUACAGAAUCUUCUUGGGUCCAAAUACUCCCUACAGGUUUCCCAUUGGCCACUUGGUGGUCAACUCGUGUAAACCAAGUGGUGGCCCGAAAUCUGUCUGAUUGGUUGUGGAAAGCAACCAAUGGGAAGUUGAGGCAAUCCAGUCAGGAGUCAAUCUGGGUUUGGCUUUUGUUAUUGCCAUGGUUUCCGUCAGUGUAACACUAGGUUCAAAUUCCUCUAGAAUUACCUUGUGCUUCAGAUGGGGGUUGAGUUGCUUCAGUGUCUUUCUUUCUCCCUCCCUCCCUCCAUCCCUUCUUUCCUUCCUCCUGUUAUAUGUAAAGUUUCAGUGCCGCAAAACCAAUUGCACUCAAAUAUAAAAUUUUCUUUUAAUUCUCAGCAAGGCAAGGUACUUCCAUAGAAGGGUGCGCCCUUACAGAUAGAGCAAUGGUGAGCGCACACUUGGACAAGGGAGGGGAAGGGGUUCUUAUCCGUGACCCACAUGGCCCCUGCUGCUGUGUUGUUCCCCUAUUGGUAGAGUUAGACCGCACAGGCUAAACUAAUUCUGAUUGGCUAAUAACGGGGUGAGUGCUUUGGCAGGAAAAAUGGUUAUGACAGAGCAGGUAAUCAGAAUGAGUCAGGGUGGAGCAGGUGAUUGAAAUGAGUCAGGGUGGAGCAGGUAAUCAAAAAAGGUUGCUUUAUAAGGAAGUUAAGUUUAAAAGUAGAAGGUAAAGAAUUGAACAUACUGACAUAUUGAUUCUUUGAAAAUAAAUUUAGAACUCAUAUCUAACACUUCCUUCCUUCCUUCCUUCUUUUUUUCUUUCUUCCUUCUUUCUUUGAGACAACGUCUUGCUCUGUCACCCAGGCUGGAGUGCAGUGGUUGCAAUCAUAACUCACUGCAGCCUUCAACUCCUGGGUUCAAGCAAUUGAUCCUCCCACUUUAGCCUCUCAAGUAGCUGAGACUACAGCUGUGCAUCACCACACCUGGCUAAUUUUUAAAUUUUUUUUGUCAGGACUGGGCCUUGCCAUGUUGCCCAGGCUGAUCUUGAACUCCUGGCCUCAAGCAAUCUCCCUGCCUCAGCCUCCUAAAACCCUGGAAUUACCUCCCAAGGGUCGUUCUUAAUAUUUCUUCCUCACCCUCAGUUUCUGGUCUUCUCUGUGCACUCACACCUCGAGGGGCUCUCCCCACACUCUUGCCCCUCCUAAUGGGAAAACUGCAGUUACUUGUUACUUCAUGCUUCCUGUGUCCUUGGGUCUCAGAGGUAGAACUUUCUCAGUAAUCCCUCCCCACUUCCCUAUGGCAGCUUAUAGUUUUUGUUUUCUAGGGGAGUAGAGAUGAAGGGUCUGGGCCAGGUGCAGUGGCUCACGCCUGUAAUCCCAGCCAUUUGGGAGGCCAAGGCAGGCAGAUCACCUGAGGCCAGGAGUUUGAGACCAGCUGGGCAACACGGUGAAACCCUGUC